rnacentral:rRNA from 1 species
ACGUAGGUGGCAAGCGUUGUCCGGAAUUAUUGGGCGUAAAGCGCGCGCAGGUGGUUAUAUAAGUCUGAUUUUAAAGUUCGGGGCUCAACCCCGUGAUGGAUUGGAAACUGUAUAACUUGAGUACAGUAGAGGUAAGCGGAAUUCCCAGUGGAGGGGUGAAAGGGGUAGAAAUGGGGAGGAACAGCAGAGGAGAGGGGAGAAAACGGGGAUAAAAACGAAACGAGGGCGAGAAAGCCACGGUAGCAAAAAG